CAGAGCUCCACAGUAAUAAUACUCCCAGUAAUGUUACUGAGUGUAUAACAGAGCUCCACAGCAAUAAUACUCCCAGUAAUGUGUCUGAGUGUAUAACAGAGCUCCACAGCAAUAAUACUCCCAGUAACGUGACUGAGUGUAUAAUAGAGCUCCACAGUAAUAAUACUCCCAGUAAUGUGUCGGGUGGUAGGGUGAAAACCGGUGUCUAAAAGGAAGAAAUGGAGCGUGGGAGGUAAACCAUGAAAUGGGGAGCUGGAGGAAACUGGGGAACAGAGAAUAUGAAUUUCUAAAAACAUUUACUUUGCUGGAGGAAGCCACAUCUUAGAGCUGAAAACUUGUCUUCCAUGUAUGUCUUGCAGGAUGGGCCAUGUAUGUCUUCCAUGUAUGUCUUGCAGGAUGGGCCAUGUAUGUCUUCCAUGUAUGUCUUGCAGGAUGGGCCAGGUAUGUCUUCCAUGUAUGUCUUGCAGCCAAUGACCUCACUAAAGUGACAUGAAAGUGACCUUAUGGCCAACGGGCCCCUAGGGCACUACAUUCAGAGGGUUCAUUUACAGCACUGAAGGCACAGUCACAGCAAGGACGGUUCAUGUGUUCCUUUGUUCUGUUUUGAUAAUACUUUACACCAGUCUCCAAGCAUACAUGGGACAGGCAUAUUAAGUCAUGUAUUUAAAUACUGUAAAUAAAAUUUCAUUCACAAC